GAUGAACGCUGGCGGCGUGCCUAAUACAUGCAAGUCGAGCGAACAGACGAGGCGCUUGCUCCUCUGACGUUAGCGGCGGACGUGUGAGUAACACGUGGAUAACCUACCUAUAAGACUGGGAUACCUUCGGGAAACCGGAGCUAAUACCGGAUAAUCUAUUGACCCGCCUUCUUCAAUAGUGAAAGACGGUUUUGCUGUCACUUCUAGAUGGUUCCGCGCCGCAUUAGCUAGUUGGUAAGGUAACGGCUUACCAAGGCGACGAUUCGUAGCCGACCUGAGAGGGUGAUCGGCCGCACUGGAACUGAGACACGGUCCAGACUCCUACGGGAGGCAGCAGUAGGGAAUCUUCCGCAAUGGGCGAAAGCCUGAAGGAGCAACGCCGCGUGAGUGAUGAAGGUCUUCGGAUCGUAAAGCUCUGUUAUUAGGGAAGAACAAAUGUGUAAGUAACUAUGCACGUCUUGACGGUACCUAAUCAGAAAGCCACGGCUAACUACGUG
rnacentral:rRNA from 1 species